UUUCUUGUCUCCAUAAUAUUUUUUUAGCUAUCCACGGGAACAUUUUGGUUGUUGCUCAGAUGACUUCUAAGUUAUUUUUGUAGUUUCUGAACAGUAUGUUCAUCUAAUCUUUACAAUGCCUAGUUCUGGUAGCAGUAUAAGAUGUUUGCUUACAUUAAGCAAUACUUAUAAUAUACACAAUUUUUUCCUCAAAGUUUAUCCCAAAUAUUAGUGAUAUACAUUUUGUUUAUAUGAAGAAUCGAUGGAGUUUGCUUUAGAAGGUAUUGAAAAUGCUUAUUAAAAGCUUCUACAACCUAUUCUACAUCAAUAUCUGAUUUAAAUGUUAUAAGCUCGCUUUUGCCUGAAGGCAUUUCCCCUACUAUAUAUAUGAAACAAUCCAUGUAUAAUUAAUGAGAAGCAGUUAGCUGUUAUAUGACAUGUCAGACAUGGCGUCUUUGGGAGGUCUGUGAAGUUUUCGUUAAUGCAGUAUGUAUACAAUCUAUGAUGACAAUUUAUGUCGAUUGCUGCAUGAUUAUUUGUGACGCUGCUUAUUUUCCAUCUCGACAGUACUGAUUAGUUAUAUUUAUUUACUAAGUGUAGAUUGUUUUGUUGUCAUCCAAAGCCACUUCGUGCAUCUGAACAUUCUUUUACUGAAUAUAUAUAAUAUUUAUCUCCAUUAUUAACUAAUAAGAUACUUAUGUUGAAAAAAAAUUAUGUUUCAUGUGUGAGCAUCCAUAUAUUUAUUGCACAAAAACACGGGUGCGGCAACGCGCACCGUCAAUGAUCUAGUACAAUUAUAACUUAUGGUACAAGGUUCAUGUAAAAGAUAUUGCCGGGUGACUGAAAACAGGUGCAAGAAUAUAUGUACAAAAGGUUCAUAUAUAACCUUUUAGAUUAGAGAUAGUAGAAAACUAAUAAUAUGCUCAAAAUGAAGGCUUGAUUUGCACCUCAAAUAGUUUGUAGUUGUAAGCAUAGUUCACAUUGUCUUAAUCAGCAUGUAAUACACUGAGUUCAGUCAGUAAUGAAGCAAUACACAUCUAACAUAUAAAGCCUCCUAGAGUACCCGCUAUUCUAGCGCCAUCGCGGACUCGGAUGAAUCCGGUGCGCACAUUCUACCCUGCACUGUACCUGUUUGGUCCUUUUAAUCUUGCUGUCAAACAUCCUGACGUCCGUUUUUCUGUACGUUGGUUGCUUGAGUUAGACCGAAUGACGGCUGGGCCACUCUUGUGCGCGGGGCCAGCAAUUCAGCUUCUACUGCGGCUGUCGCGCGCGUGCGCUAGCGGUGAACGUGGGUGGCAGGGUGCGGGGUGGGAUGAAUAUUUUUUACCGUCCUGGCCUAGACCCGGCUGCGACUCCUCUGUUUCAGCCAUGAUGGGCCCAACUGUCGGUCUUUUGGGUGGCCAGUUGUUGGUUGGUUGGUUCCUUCCGUGCAAAGCGAUAGGCUAGGGAUCGCGUGCCUGCUGACCAGGCGAGACUUGGGUGGGUGGAUGGUGCGUCGCUGCUUUUUUACCCGCCGUGUCUAUACCCAGCUGUGUUGGUGGCCCCUGCUUCGGGGUGGUCCCGUAUGGCAGUGUUUUGGGUGUUUGGGAGGUGUGCGCUUGCUUGUGUUGCCUGCCACGGACCGUGCGACGCGGCGUGGGAUGGGUCACGUGGGGUGCAAUUCUGCUUUUCUACUCGCUCUUCAUCUACCUAGCUGUUUCGGUGUCCCUCUGCUCUUUUGGUCCCACAUGUAAAUGUAAUGGGUGGCUCGUUCUGGGUGAGGGAGAGUCGUAGAGACAUUUCUUUCCAGGAAAGAUGGUCCUCCUCUCCCCACGUUCUCGGUACCGGGGUGGGUGGGUCAUGAGUGCACGUUCCCCGCUUCACUCCCCUCUCCCUCCUCUUUGAUUCCCCAUCCACCGCCGCCUCCUCUCAUGCCUCACCGCCGGCCUCCUCUAUGCCUCUUCCUCUACCUCUCGGACGACGCCUAGCUACGGCGCUCAAUGGCCGCCCGUGCGACAUCCUGCAUCUGGCGCAGGAGCGUGUGGUGGUGACGAGCCGAGCCGUCUUUGUGGCGGCGUCCGGACGGGGCCGGGCGCAAGGCGGAGCUGCGGCCGGCGACCCGGCACCGGCGCAUGCCCGGCGGUGGGACCAUCUUCGCCGUGGCCGGUGGGGGGUUGGGCGGCAGCAAGCGGUGCAGCGAGGGGAGGCGCACGGGCGAGAGGGGUGGGGCUCUUGCUAGCCGCUCUCCCGUUCCCGUUGGUUUCUUGCCGCCACGGUGGCGUUUCUCAGAUCGAGAUGGAUGGCGCGAUGACGACCAUGGCACAGGUCGACUUGGGAGCGCAUCCAGCAUCCCGGUGGCAUGGUCGUGAUGUGAUCCACCCUGUGAAGAGGGUAAUUUCUGCUUGUGAUUUGGGCAAGGAUCUGGGUGCUCUUCGUUUGCUCACCGUGUUUGUUCCUAGGUUAGCACCGCUGUUGUCAGCGGGUAGAAUGGUCGACUGGCCAUGGAGCCCUCUGCGAGCAGGUGAGCUUAAUUUCUAGGGGUAUGAGGUGAUUCUGGUCACCUCCGGCGCCGUCGGCGUCGGGAGGUAGAGGCUCAUGUACCGUAAGCUCAUCGACAGCAGUUUCGCUGAUCUGCAGAACCCACAGUUCGACCUGGAUGGGAAGGCCUACGCUGCCGUCGGCCAGAGUGGCCUCAUGGCUAUCUACGAUACACUGCUUAGCCAAGUUGUUCGUCGUCUGUGUUGUUAGCCAGCAAGUCUGUGUCGUUAGCCAGCAAGUUGGGUAAUUCUUCUGUUGCUUCACGGAUUUUCCUGCACGUUGUGUCUGUAUUAUUGUCACUGAAGAUAUACCUCAACUGAAGAUCUAGCUCGCGACGAUGAUGUACCUAAGGCUCGGAUGCAAGGUGCGAGUCAACAAUGCCAGUAGUGAGUCGAGAGAAGUGGAGAAGAGGGUCCCUCCAGGCUCCAUACAUGAAUGGUGUAUGUCGAAUGUCUCGGAUAACUACUUCAGGUUAGGCAAGAGAAAUAAAAAGGGUAACCAUAGAUAUAUGGUCUAGCAUCACGAGGUUCAGGUUCCUGCUGUUGAUCAACCGUUGCUUCAGUCGAGAGAUUAAAGAAGACUGAAAUAUGGGCUCAAGCGAUUGCUAUGUCCGACCUGCACAAGAAUGCCAAGAAGUCUUUCUCGGAGAUGAUUAAGGACAUGUACCUGCACUACAACGAGAGAUCUGGGCUGCUUCUUUGUGGCUUCCAAACUUGAAAUGUUUGUUUGGAAGUUAGUUUAGUUUUUUGUUUUGGAUUCACAGCUUCUCACAUGCACCAUCCUCUUAGACCUUUAGAUUUCCAAAGAAACUAAAUGAAGAUAUGGUGGUAUGGUCUCAAUAGUUUAACUUAAAUCUUUCUAUGCUUUAUAUUUGCUCUGAAAUUUGCUCUCGAAGAAUCAUGUAUCUAUGUUAGAUCCCGUGAGCUUUAUAUUUGCUCUGAAAUUUGUUCUUGAAGCAUCAUGUAUUUGUGUUA